GGUAUCAGUUAUUCUUGAAAGGCAGAUCAAGCAAGGAUUGAUCAAGUGGAUAUAUCUUCUAUUCUUGCUGAGUGCCUGGUUUAUAUUGAAGGUCAAGAUGGUUUCACUUGAAGUUUUGAAGGUGCUGGAGCGUAGGAAAUUCAAUCAUGCUUGUAGAAAAAAGCACAUUGCAAGGCAUAUUAGAUAUUACGCAUGUGUUUGUCAUGCUAUUGAGAUUAGGAAAAUAGUGGACGAUCCAAGCGAGCGCAUUCCAUGAUAAAUUAGUCAUAUACGUUUGAUUUUUGUUUUUUCUGUUUGAUAAAUUAGUCAUAGAUGAUCCUUGUAACUGAAAUUAUAUGUAUCUAAUAAGAUUAUUUCAAUUUCAGUGGACAUGUUCAAUGUUUUAUAAUUU